rnacentral:lncRNA from 1 species
AGAGGCCUGUAAAGAAGCAGGUGGUUUAUAAGAUUCUGCAAAGAUACCACAUCAAAUCUGUUGAAGUCCCUGGAUUAUCCGAUGAACACCAGUAAGCUGCGCUUAUGUUGAUGUUUCAUUAUUCUAGUCGUAUCUUUUUGUUCUGAACUUCGAUUUUGAUGAUCCCGAAAUUGUUGGAAAGCUUAUGAAAACAGUAUUGCUAUAUGUCAACCGGUUAAUUUAGGAUCAUCUCUCAACUUUUUUUUUGCUGUCGGAUGGCGUCCCAUCUGUUUCCUAGAGGGAGCCGGCUUUAGGCGGCCUGCUUGUCUAGUUGCGUGGUGCAGCGUGUAUGUGAGCAAAGGAGAGGGAGUUGCUCGUGGGGCCCGUGCUGGUUGCCAAGAGAGAGGUCGACGCUGUUUCCUUGUGCGCGGGCAUCUUCGGCAAGGGUGCCUCUUCCGGUUCACGGUUGCAAUGUUUGAAUUUUGUAUUUUUAAAAUUUUGUGAAGAAUUUAUGAAUAAUUUGAUAUAUAUUUCUCUGAUUUCUGGAAUCCAUAAAAAUAAUUUGUCAUUCUUUUUGAAAAUUUGACAUAUAUUUGUGUUAUUCAUAAAUUACACCACUCUUUUAAAUAAGUUAUACUGAAGAAAUUAUUGUAAAUAUAGUAAUAAGAUAGUGUAAAUACAGCUAUAAAACAAUGUAAGUGCAUAGAAAAAUUCAGUUGAUGGGAAGGACUAAAUCAACCGGUUGUUGGCUAGACAGAUCCUAUGAAAAUAUCUACAAUUUGAAUUUGAUAGUAUACCCAUUUGACCAGACAAAUCCAACUCAAUAAUCUCUUUGUCCCGACUUGUGCAUCCCUAUAAAUGGGUCCUUGUAACUGUGUUGUCGCUAAAAUCAUCAAAACCAUAUAUAAUCAUGCACAUUGGCUCAUAAUCCCAUACAACAUACCACUUUGCUAGCGGACUCACUAAAUAGCGAACGUUCAUCAGAUUUGAAUCUAGCGAACGAUCAUACAACCCCACGACUUUCCUUUUUUGGCAAAAAAAAGAAAUCCCGCAAUUUUCUAUUUUUGGAAAGUUUUCUAUUUUAGGCAAAAAAAUCGCUACUUUUCUUUUUUGAAAAUUUGUACUCACAACUUUUACGUAAAACUUAUGGAACAAACUUUUACGUAUAACUCAUAUACAUGACUUUAAUAUAUAUCUUCACUGUGACAAAGUUACACACAUAACUUAUACAUAUAACUUACUACAUGAUAAAGUUAUACACAUAACUUUUAUCUAUAAUAUUUUAUGGAACAAGUUUAUCAACAUAAUUUAUGACAAGACAAUUUAGCGAACGUUCAAAAAAGUUACAAUUAAAACUUAAGCAUAUAAUUUAAUUAAACCAAUUUUAACAUAUAAGUUAAUAACUGCAAGUUAAGCACAAAAUAUAAUAAAUAAAAUAGCUUUGCAAAAAGUUAGACAUAAAAGAUUAUAAUUAUAAGUUAAUAUCUACUAGUUACAUGUAGAAAGUUAGAUAUAAAAAUUGUGUACAGAAAGUUAGAUAUAAAAGUUACGUGCAAAAAGUAAAUAAUUAUAAAAUUUACAUCUAGCAUUUUAAAAUAAAUGUUUUACUUUUUUGUGACAUCAGCGGUGGUUAUGGAAGAGCACGCUAGAAGAGGAGGUAGUUUGAACCUUUGUUAUAUCAAAUUAAGUGAACGAUCGCCCAAAAGGGUUGACAACAUAUAUAAAAAGAAAAAAUUGAUAGACUUAUAUAAAAAAUAAAAAGAGAAAAAAAGGCAAAAGAAAAUUUUAAAAAUGUUUUAUUAGCUUUUGUGUUUUAAAGUUUUGGCAUAAGUUGUAAGUUAUAUGGUAUAAGUCAUAUGGUGAUAAGUUUUGCAAAGUGUUAUACCAAGUUGUUAGUAUAAUUUAUAGAAAUAAGUUAUAUUCUAUAAUAUAUAUGUAUAACUUAGUUACCUUCUAAAAAUGGAAAGUUGCGGAAAUUAUCAUUUUCAAAUAAGGAAAGUUGCGGGAGUAGCUGAUGGUUCGCUGGAUUCGUUACUAGUGAACGAUCGUGGAAUUGGAUUUGCGCUUUGCUAGUUAAGUACAAUGGCGCAUAAGUCCCUAUCAUACAAGUUUUUCACUAAUAUAGGGUCAUUAGCAGAUUUGUCACACAAAGAACCUCCCAUGCAAAACACUAGGUCCUAGGACAUUUGAAAUAGCAAUAAACAAGUAAUCCAUGUAAUCCUAAUCCCACAUAUAAACCAUAGGGCACCUAGCUUUCAGAUGGCUUUGGAAGAGCUCCUGGCCAAGUUAAGUCUUUUUUACUACGGGUUACAAAAGUUUAACAUAGAAAUAUGUUAAGUCCUCAGAAAAAGCUUCUGCCGACUUUGAUUUAUAAUCAGCAGAGGCUAUACCUGUUGAAUAUGCUUGCACAGAUACCCUAGCGGAAAAGGGAUAGCUCGACGGCCCUAAAAUGGCCCAGGAGGUCCGUGAUGUCAAAAGGGUAAGGCUAAGCACCCUCAUUCCCUCUCGCCUAGCCGGUGACAAAGCCAACGCAAAAGUCACGUGAAACUCACACCUGUCUCACCAUGAAGCCUCAACUUUUUCAUAAGAACCUUCCUUGCCUGGCGUCCGGCUUAGCUGUUUUUACAAAUUCCUUUAGUUUUAGUUUUACUAGAUAAGCCGCUCCACC